CCUACGGGUGGCAGCAGUGGGGAAUAUUGGACAAUGGGGGGAACCCUGAUCCAGCGACGCCGCGUGAGUGAAGAAGUAUUUCGGUAUGUAAAGCUCUAUCAGCAGGGAAGAAAAUGACGGUACCGGACUAAGAAGCCCCGGCGAAAAACGUGCCAGCAGCCGCGGUAAUACGUAGGGGGCAAGCGUUAUCCGGAUUUACUGGGCGUAAAGGGAGCGUAGACGGUGCAGCAAGACUGUUGUGAAAGGUCGGGGCCCAACCCCAGGACUGCAAUGGAAACAGUUGAAUUGGAGUACAGGAGAGGUAGGCGGAAUUCGUGGUGUAGCGGUGAAAUGCGUAGAUAUUAGGAGGAACCCCGGUGGCGAAGGCAGCUUACUGGACUGUAACUGACAUUGAGGCUCGAAAGCGUGGGGAGCAAACAGGAUUAGAUACCCGAGUAGUC
rnacentral:rRNA from 1 species